rnacentral:rRNA from 1 species
AUUGAACGCUGGCGGCGUGCCUAAUACAUGCAAGUCGAACGCUUCACUUCGGUGAAGAGUGGCGAACGGGUGAGUAAUACAUAAGUAACCUGGCAUCUACAGGGGGAUAACUGAUGGAAACGUCAGCUAAGACCGCAUAGGUGUAGAGAUCGCAUGAACUCUAUAUGAAAAGUGCUACGGGACUGGUAGAUGAUGGACUUAUGGCGCAUUAGCUAGUUGGUAGGGUAACGGCCUACCAAGGCGACGAUGCGUAGCCGACCUGAGAGGGUGACCGGCCACACUGGGACUGAGACACGGCCCAGACUCCUACGGGAGGCAGCAGUAGGGAAUUUUCGGCAAUGGGGGAAACCCUGACCGAGCAACGCCGCGUGAAGGAAGAAGUAAUUCGUUAUGUAAACUUCUGUCAUAGAGGAAGAACGGUGGAUAUAGGGAAUGAUAUCCAAGUGACGGUACUCUAUAAGAAAGCCACGGCUAACUACGUGCCAGCAGCCGCAGUAAUAC